rnacentral:tRNA from 1 species
AGGGGUAUAGCUCAUUAAUAGAGUAUUCGACUGCAGAUCGAGAGGUCCCCGGUUCAAACCCGGAUGCUCCCU